rnacentral:rRNA from 1 species
GAUGAACGCUAGCGGGAGGCCUAACACAUGCAAGCCGAGCGGUAUUGUUUCUUCGGAAAUGAGAGAGCGGCGUACGGGUGCGGAACACGUGUGCAACCUGCCUUUAUCUGGGGGAUAGCCUUUCGAAAGGAAGAUUAAUACUCCAUAAUAUAUUGAACGGCAUCGUUUAAUAUUGAAAGCUCCGGCGGAUAGAGAUGGGCACGCGCAAGAUUAGCUAGUUGGUGAGGUAACGGCUCACCAAGGCGAUGAUCUUUAGGGGGCCUGAGAGGGUGAUCCCCCACACUGGUACUGAGACACGGACCAGACUCCUACGGGAGGCAGCAGUGAGGAAUAUUGGUCAAUGGGUGCAAGCCUGAACCAGCCAUCCCGCGUGAAGGACGACUGCCCUAUGGGUUGUAAACUUCUUUUGUAUAGGGAUAGACCUACCCUCGUGAGGGUAGCUGAAGGUACUAUACGAAUAAGCACCGGCUAACUCCGUGCCAGCAGCCGCGGUAAUACGGAGGGUGCAAGCGUUAUCCGGAUUUAUUGGGUUUAAAGGGUCCGUAGGCGGACUUAUAAGUCAGUGGUGAAAGCCUGUCGCUUAACGAUAGAACUGCCAUUGAUACUGUAAGUCUUGAGUAUAUUUGAGGUAGCUGGAAUAAGUAGUGUAGCGGUGAAAUGCAUAGAUAUUACUUAGAACACCAAUUGCGAAGGCAGGUUACCAAGAUAUAACUGACGCUGAGGGACGAAAGCGUGGGGAGCGAACAGGAUUAGAUACCCUGGUAGUCCACGCCGUAAACGAUGCUAACUCGUUUUUGGGCUUUAGGGUUCAGAGACCAAGCGAAAGUGAUAAGUUAGCCACCUGGGGAGUACGCUCGCGAGAGUGAAACUCAAAGGAAUUGACGGGGGCCCGCACAAGCGGUGGAUUAUGUGGUUUAAUUCGAUGAUACGCGAGGAACCUUACCAAGACUUAAAUGGGAAUUGACAGCUUUAGAAAUAGAGCUUUCUUCGGACAAUUUUCAAGGUGCUGCAUGGUUGUCGUCAGCUCGUGCCGUGAGGUGUUAGGUUAAGUCCUGCAACGAGCGCAACCCCUGUCACUAGUUGCCAUCAUUCAGUUGGGGACUCUAGUGAGACUGCCUACGCAAGUAGAGAGGAAGGUGGGGAUGACGUCAAAUCAUCACGGCCCUUACGUCUUGGGCCACACACGUAAUACAAUGGCCGGUACAGAGGGCAGCUACACAGCGAUGUGAUGCAAAUCUCGAAAGCCGGUCUCAGUUCGGAUUGGAGUCUGCAACUCGACUCUAUGAAGCUGGAAUCGCUAGUAAUCGCGCAUCAGCCAUGGCGCGGUGAAUAAGUUCCCGGGCCU